rnacentral:rRNA from 1 species
CACGUAGUUAGCCGGGGCUUUCUCGUUAGGUACCGUCACCGUACCGCCCUAUUCGAACGGUACUUCUUCUUCCCUAACAACAGAGCUUUACGAUCCGAAGACCUUCUUCGCUCACGCGGCGUCGCUCCGUCAGACUUUCGUCCAUUGCGGAAGAUUCCCUACUGCUGCCUCCCGUAGGAGUCUGGGCCGUGUCUCAGUCCCAGUGUGGCCGGUCACCCUCUCAGGCCGGCUACGCAUCGUCGCCUUGGUGAGCCGUUACCUCACCAACUAGCUAAUGCGCCGCGGGCCCAUCCGUAAGUGGUAGCAAAAGCCACCUUUCAACCAAAGACCAUGCGGUCUUCGGUGUUAUCCGGUAUUAGCCCCGGUUUCCCGGAGUUAUCCCGGUCUUACGGGCAGGUUACCCACGUGUUACUCACCCGUCCGCCGCUAAUCGAACAGAAGCAAGCUCCCGUUCGGUCCGCUCGACUUGCAUGUAUUAGGCACGCCGCCAGCGUUCGUCCUGAGCCAGGAUCAAACUCU